ACCUUAUCAUUUAGAGGAAGGAGAAGUCGUAACAAGGUUUCCGUAGGUGAACCGCGGAAGGAUCAUUGUCGAAACCUGCCCAGCAGAACAACCCGCGAAUCGUUGUCAAAGCGCGUCAAUGAGUGAGUUGGGAGAAUGCCCUGCUCGCUGUUUGGUGCCCCCUGUUCGGUAAUGGCCACGCCUGUGGUCUUGCCAUUUACAGGAACAACAUCCACCCCCGGCGCAGAACGCGCCAAGGAAAACAAACGGAGGAGGAAUGUUUCGUUGCUCCCGAACGCGGUGAGCAAUCGGACGUUCCACCUAAAGUCGAAAAAAAACGACUCUCGGCAACGGAUAUCUCGGCUCUCGCAUCGAUGAAGAACGUAGCAAAAUGCGAUACUUGGUGUGAAUUGCAGAAUCCCGUGAACCAUCGAGUCUUUGAACGCAAGUUGCGCCCGAAGCCAUUCGGUUGAGGGCACGUCUGCCUGGGUGUCACACAACGUCGUCCCCAAACCCAACUCCCUGUUAUGAGGUGCGUUGGGAGGGACGGAAGCUGGUCUCCCGUGCUGACACAUCGCGGUUGGCCGAAUUUCAAGUCCGGGCACAAGAAGCCACAACAACCGGUGGUUGGAAGAUCCUCGAUCGAUUUGUUGUGGACUUCUAGUGCAGAGAAAGGGCUUAAGACCCAUGCACUUAGUGCUUUCCAAUUGCGACCCCGUCAGGCGGAUUACCCGCUGAGUUUAAGCAUAUCAAUAAGC
rnacentral:rRNA from 1 species